rnacentral:rRNA from 1 species
UACAGAGGGGGCAAGCGUUGUUCGGAAUUACUGGGCGUAAAGGGCGCGUAGGCGGCCUUCUAAGUCAGACGUGAAAUCCCUCGGCUCAACCGGGGAACUGCGUGUGAGACUGGCAGGCUUGAGUGCAGGAGAGGAACGCGGAAUUCCAGGUGUAGCGGUGAAAUGCGUAGAUAUCUGGAGGAACACCGGUGGCGAAGGCGGCGUUCUGGACUGUAUCUGACACUGAUAGACGAAAGCCAGGGGAGCAAACGGG